GGGUGAGUAAUGCUUGGAAAUCUGUCCAGUAGUGGGGGAUAACGUGUGGAAACGCACGCUAAUACCGCAUACGUCCUACGGGAGAAAGCAGGGGAUCUUCGGACCUUGCGCUAUUGGAUGAGCCCAAGUCAGAUUAGCUAGUUGGUGAGGUAAUGGCUCACCAAGGCGACGAUCUGUAGCUGGUCUGAGAGGAUGAUCAGCCACACUGGGACUGAGACACGGCCCAGACUCCUACGGGAGGCAGCAGUGGGGAAUAUUGCACAAUGGGCGAAAGCCUGACGCAGCCAUGCCGCGUGUGUGAAGAAGGCUCUAGGGUUGUAAAGCACUUUCAGUGGGGAGGAAAAGUUUAAGAUUAAUACUCUUGAACCUUGACGUUACCUGCAGAAGAAGCACCGGCAAACUCCGUG
rnacentral:rRNA from 1 species